GACGAACGCUGGCGGCGUGCCUAAUACAUGCAAGUAGAACGCUGAAGGAGGAGCUUGCUUCUCUGGAUGAGUUGCGAACGGGUGAGUAACGCGUAGGUAACCUGCCUGGUAGCGGGGGAUAACUAUUGGAAACGAUAGCUAAUACCGCAUAAGAGUAGAUGUUGCAUGACAUUUGCUUAAAAGGUGCAAUUGCAUCACUACCAGAUGGACCUGCGUUGUAUUAGCUAGUUGGUGAGGUAACGGCUCACCAAGGCGACGAUACAUAGCCGACCUGAGAGGGUGAUCGGCCACACUGGGACUGAGACACGGCCCAGACUCCUACGGGAGGCAGCAGUAGGGAAUCUUCGGCAAUGGACGGAAGUCUGACCGAGCAACGCCGCGUGAGUGAAGAAGGUUUUCGGAUCGUAAAGCUCUGUUGUAAAGAGAAGAAACGAAGUGUGAGAGUGGAAAGUUC
rnacentral:rRNA from 1 species